CCUACGGGAGGCAGCAGUGAGGAAUAUUGGUCAAUGGACGAGAGUCUGAACCAGCCAAGUAGCGUGAAGGAUGACUGCCCUAUGGGUUGUAAACUUCUUUUAUAUGGGAAUAAAACGUUCCACGUGUGGGAGUUUGUAUGUACCAUAUGAAUAAGGAUCGGCAAACUUCGUGCCAGCAGCCGCGGUAAUACGGAGGAUCCGAGGGUUAUCCGGAUUUAUUGGGUUUAAAGGGAGCGUAGGUGGUUGGUUAAGUCAGUGGUAAAAGUUUGGGGCUAAACCGUAAAUUGCAGUUGAAACUGGCAGUCUUGAGUGCAGUAGAGGUGGGCGGAAUUCGUGGUGUAGCGGUGAAAUGCUUAGAUAUCACGAAGAACUCCGAUUGCGAAGGCAGUUCACUGGACUGCAACUGACGCUGAGGCUCGAAAGUGUGGGUAUCAAACAGGAUUAGAUACCCUAGUAGUC
rnacentral:rRNA from 1 species